rnacentral:rRNA from 1 species
AGAGCGAACGCUGGCGGCAGGCCUAACACAUGCAAGUCGAGCGCCCGUAGCAAUACGGGAGCGGCAGACGGGAGAGUAACACGUGGGAACGUGCCCUUCAGUUCGGAACAACCCAGGGAAACUUGGGCUAAAUACCGGAUACGCCCUUACGGGGAAAGAUUUAUCGCUGAAGGAGCGGCCCGCGUCUGAUUAGCUAGUUGGUGGGGUAACGGCCCACCAAGGCGACGAUCAGUAGCU